rnacentral:rRNA from 1 species
UUUAUGGAGAGUUUGAUCCUGGCUCAGGAUGAACGCUGGCGGCGUGCCUAAUACAUGCAAGUCGAGCGAACGGACGAGAAGCUUGCUUCUCUGAUGUUAGCGGCGGACGGGUGAGUAACACGUGGAUAACCUACCUAUAAGACUGGGAUAACUUCGGGAAACCGGAGCUAAUACCGGAUAAUAUUUUGAACCGCAUGGUUCAAAAGUGAAAGACGGUCUUGCUGUCACUUAUAGAUGGAUCCGCGCUGCAUUAGCUAGUUGGUAAGGUAACGGCUUACCAAGGCAACGAUGCAUAGCCGACCUGAGAGGGUGAUCGGCCACACUGGAACUGAGACACGGUCCAGACUCCUACGGGAGGCAGCAGUAGGGAAUCUUCCGCAAUGGGCGAAAGCCUGACGGAGCAACGCCGCGUGAGUGAUGAAGGUCUUCGGAUCGUAAAACUCUGUUAUUAGGGAAGAACAUAUGUGUAAGUAACUGUGCACAUCUUGACGGUACCUAAUCAGAAAGCCACGGCUAACUACGUGCCAGCAGCCGCGGUAAUACGUAGGUGGCAAGCGUUAUCCGGAAUUAUUGGGCGUAAAGCGCGCGUAGGCGGUUUUUUAAGUCUGAUGUGAAAGCCCACGGCUCAACCGUGGAGGGUCAUUGGAAACUGGAAAACUUGAGUGCAGAAGAGGAAAGUGGAAUUCCAUGUGUAGCGGUGAAAUGCGCAGAGAUAUGGAGGAACACCAGUGGCGAAGGCGACUUUCUGGUCUGUAACUGACGCUGAUGUGCGAAAGCGUGGGGAUCAAACAGGAUUAGAUACCCUGGUAGUCCACGCCGUAAACGAUGAGUGCUAAGUGUUAGGGGGUUUCCGCCCCUUAGUGCUGCAGCUAACGCAUUAAGCACUCCGCCUGGGGAGUACGACCGCAAGGUUGAAACUCAAAGGAAUUGACGGGGACCCGCACAAGCGGUGGAGCAUGUGGUUUAAUUCGAAGCAACGCGAAGAACCUUACCAAAUCUUGACAUCCUUUGACAACUCUAGAGAUAGAGCCUUCCCCUUCGGGGGACAAAGUGACAGGUGGUGCAUGGUUGUCGUCAGCUCGUGUCGUGAGAUGUUGGGUUAAGUCCCGCAACGAGCGCAACCCUUAAGCUUAGUUGACAUCAUUCAGUUGGGCACUCUAAGUUGACUGCCGGUGACAAACCGGAGGAAGGUGGGGAUGACGUCAAAUCAUCAUGCCCCUUAUGAUUUGGGCUACACACGUGCUACAAUGGACAAUACAAAGGGCAGCGAAACCGCGAGGUCAAGCAAAUCCCAUAAAGUUGUUCUCAGUUCGGAUUGUAGUCUGCAACUCGACUACAUGAAGCUGGAAUCGCUAGUAAUCGUAGAUCAGCAUGCUACGGUGAAUACGUUCCCGGGUCUUGUACACACCGCCCGUCACACCACGAGAGUUUGUAACACCCGAAGCCGGUGGAGUAACCUUUUAGGAGCUAGCCGUCGAAGGUGGGACAAAUGAUUGGGGUGAAGUCGUAACAAGGUAGCCGUAUCGGAAGGUGCGGCUGGAUCACCUCCUUUCU